CGUGGCUCUCACGUGAGCAGGAGCUAGACAUUUGCAGACGUCCUUCUAAUCCUGGUCUUCGUUUGGUCCGGUUGCCAUCUCCCUUUUACCUCGAAGGCGGGCGGGCUUGUGGCCAGGAGAAGAGGAGGAGGAGGAGCCAUCCCAUCUCUGCCGUGUCGCCUGUCUGUGUCUGUGGAUCUUGCGCCUGAAGGCCAGUUCAACCCUAGGAGCAGGAAGAAGAGGAAAAUUGCCCUGAAACAGGGAAGGAGUUGUGGCAGUCACCUUCCAAGGAAAUCGGUGUUACUCCAGGCCAGAAAUCGAAGGAAGAAACUGCCUGGACCUGUGCGGGUGUAUGUGGGGGUGCCUCUGCCCCCGGGACAUCUGCAGGGGCAGGGGAGGUAGGGAACUGAUUAGUUGUCGUAAAUUUAACGUACUGGAGUGGGGUAGUUGAAGAGGACGUUGGAGAAUCUGGAGGUGGGGAAACUUCCAAAAUUCCUGAUUGA
rnacentral:lncRNA from 1 species